GCCCUCUUAGCUCAGUCGGUAGAGCGCGUCCUUGGUAAGGACGAGGUCUCCAGUUCAAUCCUGGAAGAGGGCUCCA
rnacentral:tRNA from 1 species